AUGGGGGGGACCUGUACAUUGGUCCUUACCCUCAUCUGAUAGAUACAUCACCGAAUCAUCCUAGGACCUUCUGUCUAAGAGAAAGGAGCUUACAACUUCAGUUACAUGCUCUUAGCAAAUCUAUGUCAUGCUGUGCAGUGGAAAGGCUGUGCGUGUACUUGUUGAGCUCCAGGACCAUCACAGAGUAUGAGAGCCAGGUGAUCUGGUCCCAGAGAACAGACAUGGAGAAGGCUGCCAAACUGCUCCAGGUGGUGCUGAAGAAGGGUCGCAACGCCUGUCUUCUCUUUUUCGACUCACUAGAAAAGUGUUGCCAGUGCCCACCACAGUUCGAAAGAGUUACCGGUCUCCCAGGUAAGUCUCUUCAAAAGUGUACAUUUUUUCAUUUGAUUAAUUGCAAAUAAAUGACUUUGGCCUACAUGUCUAUAGUUUUCAUGUAGUUUUCAUCAACAUUUAAAUAUGGUUAUGAAUAGUCUAGGCUUACGGUGAUUUUGUGAUUCUAAUUCAAAUAAAGGUUAUACAAAAUAAAAUAAAAAUAGUCAUGUUAUGUGGUAUAUAGAGAGGUAGGCUAACUUGGCCUAGAUUGCAGCACGUUUUCUCUGUAGUAUAUGGUAUAUGUUAUGUAUAUGGUAAGCCGAAUUCUACCUCACUUUACCUUUUGGAAGCACUGGAAACCCAGCACCAUUUGGUGUCCGAUGCAGGUGAGGCCCAAGAAUGUUCCAGAACCUCAAGAAUGUUCCAUUCCUCAUAUAAAAUCCUUUUUUUUAUAGGUAAAGUGUAGGCUUACAUAUAAAUGGUUUCUCCACGUGUCCAAAACUAAAGCUCAUGGAAGGUUUUUACAGUAUGUCAUCAUCAUGACGCAACGGGAAUCGCCGGGAUACUAUUGUCAACAACAGACUAUUUCCCAUUUUCAACCUCUUCCCUUUUUUCUCACAUCCCAAACAACAGAGAGGAGGAGGACCAACACUGCCCCAACUUACGUCAUCAACAUCAGCCAUUCCAAUUUGAGUAACUGCAUCAUUGGAGAUGGCAACUUUCAAGGAGUGACAACGUGUAUACAACAACCUCAGAGCAUGGGUUCAGAGGAUGCUAGGCAUGAGACAAUGGGAGGCAACAUCACCAGUGAUCACCAGAGAGCAGUACAGGCCUGUCUAGAUCCAGAGCUCCAGAGGAGUGUCCAGGUCUAUGGGUCCCAACUGCAGUAUGUCAUCAUCGGGGACAACAACAACCUGCAAGCUGAAGACACACCGGAAGAGGAAGAAGGGGAAGAAGAAAAACUCAUUAAUGAAAGUAACUGA
rnacentral:lncRNA from 1 species